AAGUCGUAACAAGGUUUCCGUAGGUGAACCUGCGGAAGGAUCAUUACCAAAAAAUCCAAUACCAACCCCUUUUUGUGAAUACUUUGAAUGUACUUGGGAGAGCUUUGGAUCUCUCAAAGUUUUUAUUUUUCUUUAAACUUUGACUGCCUUCUCUCCCACGUUUAUUAACCUUAAAACACCUUUCAUGGGUUAACUAUAUAAUAGUAAUUUCAUACUAAAAAAAAUUAAAAGUUAAACAACUUUUAACGGUGGAUCUCUUGGCUCGU
rnacentral:misc_RNA from 1 species